rnacentral:rRNA from 1 species
GGCGGACGGGUGAGGAAUACAUCGGAAUCUACUCUGUCGUGGGGGAGUAACGUAGGGAAACUUACGCUAAUACCGCAUACGACCUACGGGUGAAAGCAGGGGAUCUUCGGACCUUGCGCGAUUGAAUGAGCCGAUGUCGGAUUAGCUGGUUGGCGGGGUAAAGGCCCACCAAGGCGACGAUCCGUAGCUGGUCUGAGAGGAUGAUCAGCCACACUGGAACUGAGACACGGUCCAGACUCCUACGGGAGGCAGCAGCA